CGGCUCAGUAACACGUGGAUAACCUACCCUCAGAUCUGGGAUAACUCCGGGAAACUGGAGAUAAUACCGGAUAAUCCGUGAACGCUGGAAUGCCUUACGGUUGAAAGCUUUAGCGUCUGAGGAUGGGUCUGCGGCCGAUUAGGUAGUUGCUGGGGUAACGUCCCAACAAGCCGAUAAUCGGUACGGGUUGUGAGAGCAAGAGCCCGGAGAUGGAUUCUGAGACACGAAUCCAGGUCCUACGGGGCGCAGCAGGCGCGAAAACUUUACACUGCGCGAAAGCGCGAUAAGGGGACCUCGAGUGCGUGCGCAAAGCGUACGCUUUUCAGAUGCCUAAAAAGCAUCUGGAAUAAGGGCCGGGCAAGACCGGUGCCAGCCGCCGCGGUAACACCGGCGGCUCAAGUGGUGGCCGCUAUUAUUGGGCUUAAAGGGUCCGUAGCCGGACCAGUUAGUCCCUUGGGAAAUCUUACGGCUUAACCGUAAGGCUGCCAAUGGAUACUGCUGGUCUUGGGACCGGGAGAGGCAAGAGGUACCUCAGGGGUAGGAGUGAAAUCCUGUAAUCCUUGAGGGACCGCCAGUGGCGAAGGCGUCUUGCUAGAACGGGUCCGACGGUGAGGGACGAAAGCUAGGGGCACGAACCGGAUUAGAUACCCCGGGUAGUCCUAGCCGUAAA
rnacentral:rRNA from 1 species